GACGAACGCUGGCGGCGUGCUUAACACAUGCAAGUCGAACGGUAAGGCCCUGCUUUUGUGGGGUGCUCGAGUGGCGAACGGGUGAGUAACACGUGAGUAACCUGCCCUUGACUUUGGGAUAACUUCAGGAAACUGGGGCUAAUACCGGAUAGGAGCUCCUGCUGCAUGGUGGGGGUUGGAAAGUUUCGGCGGUUGGGGAUGGACUCGCGGCUUAUCAGCUUGUUGGUGGGGUAGUGGCUUACCAAGGCUUUGACGGGUAGCCGGCCUGAGAGGGUGACCGGCCACAUUGGGACUGGGAUACGGCCCAGACUCCUACGGGAGGCAGCAGUGGGGAAUAUUGCACGAUGGGCGGAAGCCUGAUGCAGCAACGCCGCGUGCGGGAUGACGGCCUUCGGGUUGUAAACCGCUUUCGCCUGUGACGAAGCGUGAGUGACGGUAAUGGGUAAAGAAGCACCGGCUAACUACGUG
rnacentral:rRNA from 1 species